UGGGGAAUAUUGCACAAUGGGCGCAAGCCUGAUGCAGCCAUGCCGCGUGUAUGAAGAAGGCCUUCGGGUUGUAAAGUACUUUCAGCGGGGAGGAAGGGAGUAAAGUUAAUACCUUUGCUCAUUGACGUUACCCGCAGAAGAAGCACCGGCUAACUCCGUGCCAGCAGCCGCGGUAAUACGGAGGGUGCAAGCGUUAAUCGGAAUUACUGGGCGUAAAGCGCACGCAGGCGGUUUGUUAAGUCAGAUGUGAAAUCCCCGGGCUCAACCUGGGAACUGACUCUGAUACUGGCAAGCUUGAGUCUCGUAGAGAGGGGUAGAUUUCCAGGUGUAGCGGUGAAAUGCGUAGAGAUCUGGAGGAAUACCGGUGGCGAAGGCGGCCCCCUGGACGAAGACUGACGCUCAGGUGCGAAAGCGUGGGGAGCAAACAGG
rnacentral:rRNA from 1 species